AAUUUUCUGACUGCUUUUGUUUUUAUAGGCCUCCCUCCGAUCUUCAAUUAGUAAGCUUUUCCCGUUCUUCUAUAUAGCUUCGACGCAAACUUCUAUUUCUUUUCUUUUUUCUGUUUUUUCGUCUGUUGUAUUUGCUAGGUGUUUGGCCAAUGAUUAGAUUUAUUUAAUAGACAAGCAUAUGUCUGAAUUUUUCUCAUGUUGAAUACUCUAAUCUUCUCUAUGAGGCCGUUUUAUGUCUCUUUAAAUCCUUCACAUUCUUUCCCUUUGAUUUUCAGAGAAAAUUAUUUGUUUCUUUUAUCUUUUUCUAAGUUUUGGUUUCAGUUUUUGCCGAUGAUGAUGUAGUUGUUUUGCGAUAAUGAGAAAAUCAUGAUUACGACUAUACUACUGCCUUCCUUCUGAGGCUGCCCUUUUAUCAAAAUUUUAUAUAGUUUUUCUCUACUUUUAAUUCAAUAAUUGAUAAUUGCUUCUUCUGUGUAUGCAGUAGUGGGUCAAAUGAUGACUAGUAGCAUAGUUCACAUGAAGUUAUUUGUGAUUAUAAAACUACUUUAGUCUUUCGCUCCUAUCUGAUGACUCUCCAAUUGUUUUCGUUAUAAAUUGCUUUUGAUUAUUUUGAGAUUUAAAAGUGUUAUGAGGACAAUGACGACUACUUUUCAGAUUGGUCUCGUUCGUCGUAAUGGUGUAAAUCCACCUUGCCGACCAUCCUGAUAUAUCACCACCCAUAAACUGAGUCCCCAUUAAAUUUCCUUUAAAUUGCUUUGUUUUAGUUUUGGUUUUAAUUCAAUGAGUUCUCAUGUUUCUUAAGUAUUUACUUUUUGGAUGCUGCGAAGUUCUGAGGCCUUCACUUGAAAUUUGAAAUGUGUACCAUAGACACAACUCUCUACGAAGUUCUGAAGUCUUCACUUUUUAACCAGUUUUAUAUUUUCCUCUUGUUGCUUUUGAGGUCCUUUUUACUCUUUUCAUGGGAAAGAAAGAGAGCGAUUUGACGAUAGAAUUCAUUAGUCUGUCAAUCCACUGACUAAUUUGUGCGAUGUUAACAGUGAAAUCUCGACAGGUUCUGAUCGCUUAUCAUCUUUGACUUUUUACUACUACUUAGACUCAAAGUUUUUCUUUGAUUUUAUGAGCAGAUGAGUAAUCUCAUGAUUUUAAUGAGUAAUUUGCGUUUGAAACUUUUCAUUGAUCUAUAUAUCACCUUUAGAGGCCGGCAUUCGGUAUUUAGGUUUGAUAUUUAAGAGCUUUGAUUUGUUAUAUUAAUAUUCGGUUUAUCAAUUGUGUAUAUCAAAUAUUGUACCAAAGUGGUUUGUUAUGGUUCGAUAUUUCUUAUUUUGAUUUGAUACGAUUUUCGUUUGAUACAUUAACGGAAUUGUUCCUUUUAAAAGGAAAUCAUUUACAAACAUGGAUAGAUGAUAUAAAUGGAGAGUGGACAGUCAUGUUGUGCUAACACUGCUAAGCUAGCAGGUGGGAGGUGGAGGACGAGGAACUAGGAAGGGGAUCACAAGCAUUGAUGGGCUAUUACAAAAUAAUUAUAGUAGUCUGCAUUAUUAACUAUCACCCCAUCCUAAUUAUAGUAGUCUGCUAUAGCCUGCAACGCCCACCUUUAUAAACUACCACUAUCCACCAUCACCUUCCUCAAUCACAACCACCACCAUCAUCCACCAUUAUUAACUAUCACUACCAACCACCAACAUCCUCAACCAUAAUCGCU
rnacentral:lncRNA from 1 species